CUUGAGCGAACCCAGCCACAGGGGCCGGUCGACAGGCCGUUCACGGCCGUAGGCGGCCAGCAGGGCCUGCGCCUC
rnacentral:antisense_RNA from 2 species